rnacentral:rRNA from 1 species
GAAUGGCACCACGAAGGUUCUACUGUCUCCUUUUUUUAAUCAGUAAAACUAAUCUUCCCGUGAAGAAGCGGGAAUAAACCUAUAAGACGAGAAGACCCUAUGGAGCUUUAAACUAAAUAUCAAUUGCUUAUUUCUUCCAAUAUUUCAGAAUUAUAUCUCUUAUCUUAGCUUUUUGAUAUUAAGUUUUAGGUUGGGGUGACCGCGGAGUAAAAAAUAACCUCCACAUUGAAAGGUAUACCUUUCCUGAGCANUAAACUACUAUUUUAUGCACCAACAUAUUGACAUCAAUUGACCCAAUAUUUUGAUCAACGAACCAAGUUACCCUAGGGAUAACAGCGCAAUCUACUUCAAGAGCUCCUAUCGACAAGUAG